UACGUGGGGGUGCAAGCAUUAAUCGGAUUUAUUGGGCGUAAAGAGCGCGUAGGCGGAGAGGCAAGUUGUCUGUGAAAUCCCCUGGGCUCAACCUAGGAAUAGCAUACAAAACUACCUCCCUUGAGGGUAGACGGAGAGAACGGAAUUCCACGUGUAGCGGUGAAAUGCGUAGAUAUGUGGAAGAACACCGGUGGCGAAAGCGGUUCUCUAGCCUACACCUGACGCUGAGGCGCGAAAGCAAGGGGGAGCAAACAGG
rnacentral:rRNA from 1 species